rnacentral:rRNA from 1 species
AUGCCACGCUUUUGAAAGAUGGUUUCGGCUAUCGCUUACAGAUGGGCCCGCGGUGCAUUAGCUAGUUGGUAGGGUAAUGGCCUACCAAGGCAACGAUGCAUAGCCGACCUGAGAGGGUGAUCGGCCACACUGGGACUGAGACACGGCCCAGACUCCUACGGGAGGCAGCAGUAGGGAAUCUUCCGCAAUGGACGAAAGUCUGACGGAGCAACGCCGCGUGUAUGAAGAAGGUUUUCGGAUCGUAAAGUACUGUUGUUAGAGAAGAACAAGGAUAAGAGUAACUGCUUGUCCCUUGACGGUAUCUAACCAGAAAGCCACGGCUAACUACGUGCCAGCAGCCGCGGUAAUACGUAGGUGGCAAGCGUUGUCCGGAUUUAUUGGGCGUAAAGCGCGCGCAGGCGGUCUUUUAAGUCUGAUGUGAAAGCCCCCGGCUUAACCGGGGAGGGUCAUUGGAAACUGGAAGACUGGAGUGCAGAAGAGGAGAGUGGAAUUCCACGUGUAGCGGUGAAAUGCGUAGAUAUGUGGAGGAACACCAGUGGCGAAGGCGACUCUCUGGUCUGUAACUGACGCUGAGGCGCGAAAGCGUGGGGAGCAAACAGGAUU